rnacentral:rRNA from 3 species
AAACUUUCAACAACGGAUCUCUUGGCUCUGGCAUCGAUGAAGAACGCAGCGAAAUGCGAUAAGUAAUGUGAAUUGCAGAAUUUAGUGAAUCAUCGAAUCUUUGAACGCACAUUGCGCCCCUUGGUAUUCCGAGGGGCAUGCCUG